CCCCGCGUCCUUUCUUAAGAGAUGGAGCAAUCGUCACUCGACAGCUCAAAGCUGACCGGUACAACCCGCGUGCUUGCCUACUCGUCCCGGCCUAUUUGUACCCAGCUACAAUCUCUUCCCUUAUAAAAGAAAAAAGGGCCCCUCGGCCAAUCGUCACUCGACAGCUCGAAAGCGGAUCAGUAAAAAACCAUGUGAUCUGUACUUGUUUACGUACUGCCCCUUAGGCCUAGGGCUUCGUC
rnacentral:lncRNA from 1 species